AGUACACGAGCAACGGAAGUUAAAAAAUCGGGCAAGAUUGAACGCAAAGGCAAGCGGGACAUUUGAGGAUGGGGUGACUGCGUACCUUUUGUAUAAUGGGUCAGCGACUUAUAUUCUGUAGCAAGGUUAACCGUAUAGGGGAGCCGUAGGGAAACCGAGUCUUAACUGGGCGAAUGAGUUGCAGGGUAUAGACCCGAAACCCGGUGAUCUAUCCAUGGGCAGGUUGAAGGUUGGGUAACACUAACUGGAGGACCGAACCGACUAAUGUUGAAAAAUUAGCGGAUGACUUGUGGAUGGGGGUGAAAGGCCAAUCAAACCGGGAGAUAGCUGGUUCUCCCCGAAAGCUAUUUAGGUAGCGCCUCGUGAAUUCAUCUUCGGGGGUAGAGCACUGUUUCGACUAGGGGGUCAUCCCGACUUACCAACUCGAUGCAAACUGCGAAUACCGAAGAAUGUUAUCACGGGAGACACACGGCGGGUGCUAACGUCCGUCGUGAAGAGGGAAACAACCCAGACCGCCAGCUAAGGUCCCAAAGUCAUGGUUAAGUGGGAAACGAAGUGGGAAGGCUCAGACAGCCAGGAUGUUGGCUUAGAAGCAGCCAUCAUUUAAAGAAAGCGUAAUAGCUCACUGGUCGAGUCGGCCCGCGCGGAAGAUGUAACGGGGCUAAACCAUGCACCGAAGCUGCGGCAGCGACACAAAGUGUUGUUGGGUAGGGGAGCGUUCUGUAAGCCUGCGAAGGUAUACUGUGAGGUAUGCUGGAGGUAUCAGAAGUGCGAAUGCUGACAUAAGUAACGAUAAUGCGGGUGAAAAACCCGCACGCCGGAAGACCAAGGGUUCCUGUCCAACGUUAAUCGGGGCAGGGUGAGUCGACCCCUAAGGCGAGGCUGAAAAGCGUAGUCGAUGGGAAACGGGUUAAUAUUCCCGUACUGGUGGUAACUGCGAUGGGGGAACGGAGAAGGCUAGGUUGUCCGGGCGACGGUCGUCCCGGUUCAAGCAGGUAGGCAGAGUGAUUAGGCAAAUCCGGUCACUUAAUGCUGAGAUGUGAUGACGAACCACCAAGGUGGUGAAGCAAUUGAUGCCCCGCUUCCAGGAAAAGCCUCUAAGCUUCAGGUUACCAACAAUCGUACCCCAAACCGACACAGGUGGUCAGGUAGAGAAUACUCAGGCGCUUGAGAGAACUCGGGUGAAGGAACUAGGCAAAAUGGUGCCGUAACUUCGGGAGAAGGCACGCUGGCGGUAGGUAAAGUCCCUUGCGGACGGCGCUGAAGCCAGUCGAAGAUACCAGCUGGCUGCAACUGUUUAUUAAAAACACAGCACUGUGCAAACACGAAAGUGGACGUAUACGGUGUGACGCCUGCCCGGUGCUGGAAGGUUAAUUGAUGGGGUCAGCCGUAAGGCGAAGCUCCUGAUCGAAGCCCCAGUAAACGGCGGCCGUAACUAUAACGGUCCUAAGGUAGCGAAAUUCCUUGUCGGGUAAGUUCCGACCUGCACGAAUGGCGUAAUGAUGGCCAGGCUGUCUCCACCCGAGACUCAGUGAAAUUGAACUCGCUGUGAAGAUGCAGUGUACCCGCGGCAAGACGGAAAGACCCCGUGAACCUUUACUAUAGCUUGACACUGAACAUUGAGCCUUGAUGUGUAGGAUAGGUGGGAGGCUUUGAAGUGUGGACGCCAGUCUGCAUGGAGCCAACCUUGAAAUACCACCCUUUAACGUUUGAUGUUCUAACCUAGGCCCAUAAACUGGGUCGGGGACCGUGUCUGGUGGGUAGUUUGACUGGGGCGGUCUCCUCCUAAAGAGUAACGGAGGAGCACGAAGGUUGGCUAAGCAUGGUCGGACAUCAUGCGGUUAGUGCAAAGGCAUAAGCCAGCUUGACUGCGAGAGUGACGGCUCGAGCAGGUACGAAAGUAGGUCUUAGUGAUCCGGUGGUUCUGAAUGGAAGGGCCAUCGCUCAACGGAUAAAAGGUACUCCGGGGAUAACAGGCUGAUACCGCCCAAGAGUUCAUAUCGACGGCGGUGUUUGGCACCUCGAUGUCGGCUCAUCACAUCCUGGGGCUGAAGUAGGUCCCAAGGGUAUGGCUGUUCGCCAUUUAAAGUGGUACGCGAGCUGGGUUUAGAACGUCGUGAGACAGUUCGGUCCCUAUCUGCCGUGGGCGUUGGAAGAUUGAGAGGGGUUGCUCCUAGUACGAGAGGACCGGAGUGAACGCACCACUGGUGUUCGGGUUGUCAUGCCAAUGGCAUUGCCCGGUAGCUAAGUGCGGAAGAGAUAACCGCUGAAAGCAUCUAAGCGGGAAACUUGCCUCGAGAUGAGUCUUCCCUGUCACUUUAAGUGACCUAAAGGAACGUUUAAGACUAAGACGUUGAUAGGCUGGGUGUGUAAGCGUAGCGAUACGUUGAGCUAACCAGUACUAAUGAACCGUGAGGCUUAACCU
rnacentral:rRNA from 2 species